rnacentral:lncRNA from 1 species
UUUUGACACGGUGAAUCACCUGACUAGCGAGAUACCACCGGCGGCCUCAGAUGGCAAUGACAACGACGAACUCAUUUCAAGACGACACAGCAGGAGAUGCAAGAAACAGAAGCUCAUGUCCGUGGUUUUGCAGAAUGGGGAGAUGCAAGACAAGAAACAGAAGCUGAUGCCCGUGGUUUUGCAUAGUGGGGGAGAUGUCAAAAUCAAUCAACGGUGGUAGUGGUGGUGGCCGAAUUCGUUUUUUUUUUUUUUUUUUUUUCUUGCUAUGUUUUCAGUCUCGCCUCCAACCGAACUCCGGUAUUGAUUUUUGAACAAUUUUGAUUAUUGUUUAUCUAUGAACAAAGUUGGGUUACCCUGUGAAAAACUUUAUUAUAGUUAGGUUUAUCUGUCUCGAUUUCUGCAACCAAUUUCUAGGGUUCUUAGUUUGAAUUUGGGAUUUCUGAAUAUUUGUUGAAAUUAUAUGUUAUUGCUAUCAUCAUCAUGAGUAAAAAACUUUUUUUAUAUGGAUUUUGUUGUUUUACAAAAUCUAAAUAAAUCUUGCCUUAUGAAUUUUGUUUUAUACAGCAUAAGCUUGCAAGUAAUUGGUUGAAUAGCCCCACAUAGCAUUGUAUGAAUUAAAUGUACCCAUUAAUUCAUGAGUUUUUUGUUUCUUUUUAUUCCUAAUGCAGAUGUGUUAAUCUUUCAUACCUGAUCAUAUACACGUAAUUGUAUAAUUAAUUAAUCAUUACAUUUUUCUAUGAUUUUAAAAAUUAUACUAAUAAUCUGUUGGAUUGUUGUCUUUUAGGUUGCAUGCUGGUUGUCGAUUUUUGUGAUAACAUCGCCUGUUGCUUUAAUCUGAAGGCUUGAAGGCUGCUGCUGGUGGGUUGCUAGGAUUUAUGAAUUAUGACAGCUGGACUUAUUCACGUAUUCUCACAAGCUGGUACCUCUUGACUGACCUCUGCUGGUAAAUCAUGAAAAGGUUCCCAACAGCGCCAAUGAGGUUCCAAAAACGCUGAGAACUCCAGCAGGGGAGGCAUACUGUUUUCGGUGACCUUUCGACGUCAUCAGAAACAAUGGGGAUGAGGCGCCGACGAACAAGCCAUCAAAUUUGUUUCAGCCAUCAAUGUGGACUAGAACACUGUUAAACACAAACGCAAGCUCGAUUAGGGAGAUGCUGACGCAUGUUGAAAGUCCCGGCUCUACAAAAAGAGGUGCUUUUGAAUGAAUUGUUAGCUUUGCAGUUAAAAAUGACUUUAAAAUUUCACAUUUUAGUGUAGAUGGUCUGAUUCCUAGUUUUAAGCCCAAAAUCUUGCAUCAUAAGUUUACAAACGUUUGUUGAAUUAAGGCCAUCAAAUUUUAUACAAUAUUUUGAUUUCGACUU